rnacentral:rRNA from 1 species
AGCGAACGCUGGCGGCAGGCCUAACACAUGCAAGUCGAACGAACUCUUCGGAGUUAGUGGCGGACGGGUGAGUAACACGUGGGAACGUGCCUUUAGGUUCGGAAUAACUCAGGGAAACUUGUGCUAAUACCGAAUGUGCCCUUCGGGGGAAAGAUUUAUCGCCUUUAGAGCGGCCCGCGUCUGAUUAGCUAGUUGGUGGGGUAAUGGCUCACCAAGGCUACGAUCAGUAGCUGGUCUGAGAGGAUGACCAGCCACACUGGGACUGAGACACGGCCCAGACUCCUACGGGAGGCAGCAGUGGGGAAUCUUGCGCAAUGGGCGAAAGCCUGACGCAGCCAUGCCGCGUGAAUGAUGAAGGUCUUAGGAUUGUAAAAUUCUUUCACCGGGGACGAUAAUGACGGUACCCGGAGAAGAAGCCCCGGCUAACUACGUGCCAGCCGCCGCAGUAA